GGGGCUGGAUUUGGUUUUGACAGCAAUGUGAUGGGUAGGUAAGCAUGUUGAGCCAGGUAACAAGACUCAUUAAUCCGGGUUACAAAACAAUAAAAGGCGAAAACAAUUACGCGCUUGCUGCUUAGUCUUUAGAAGGCUAUGCUUAAUCCCGGUACCAGGUACUGGGACAAGCUGUCUCUCAGAAACCUUGUUUGGCGGUUUCUGGCUCAGAGGCACUCGUGAGACAAACUAGUUCGAAAAGAGUCCUGAUUUUCGGGCGAAUUUAAAAGGAAUAAGGUUUAGGUAGGCUGCCUGCUACCAGCCUAAACACGAAAAACAAUAGCAAGCUAUGCAUGUAGAAAGCUUACUGGUUAGUUGUUUGGACGAGGGUUCGACUCCCUCCAGCUCCACAA
rnacentral:tmRNA from 1 species